rnacentral:misc_RNA from 1 species
GGGGUGCAAAAGUACAUCCAUCUCCUUCAAGCCUUACUGACGCAGGUAGAGAAAUCCUUCAGAAGGAUCCUUCAAGCCCAGGAAGUUUAGGAAUAGCUAUUUCAGAAGCUGUGGAGGUUGCAGCAACAAAUGCUGAUACCAAGUAUUGCCUGGGCAGUGUACUUAAUCAUGUUUUGUUACACCAGACUAUUAUAGGCGAGGAGUGCCUAAAGCAAAUGGAAGCCAUAGGUGAAACCCCUGAUUUGAUCAUAGGUUGUACUGGUGGUGGGUCCAACUUUGCAGGGCUGAGUUUCCCCUUCAUUAGAGAGAAGCUCAGUGGGAAAAUCAACCCUGUCAUAAGAGCAGUUGAACCUACAGCAUGCCCUUCGCUAACAAAGGGUGUUUAUGCGUAUGAUUAUGGUGAUACAGCAGGGAUGACUCCAUUAAUGAAGAUGCAUACACUAGGGCAUGACUUCAUUCCUGACCCUAUUCAUGCUGGGGGCUUGCGAUACCAUGGUAUGGCACCAUUGAUUUCACAUGUCCAUGAAUUGGGUUUCAUGGAAGCAAUUGCAAUUCCUCAGACUGAGUGCUUUCAAGGUGCCUUACAAUUUGCUAGAUCUGAAGGGAUAAUACCUGCACCAGAGCCAACUCAUGCAAUUGCUGCCACCAUCAGGGAGGCUAUCCAUUGUAGAGAAACUGGAGAAGCAAAGGUUAUUCUCAUGGCAAUGUGUGGACAUGGCCAUUUUGACCUAACGUCUUACGAAAAGUAUUUGCGAGGAAAUAUGGUGGACUUGUCAUUUGCAGAAGAGAAAAUACAAGCAUCAUUAGCCAGAGUUCCUCAGGUAGCAUGAAGUGAAGCAAACAUGAAAGAUGCUACGUAAAAUGAACUUUGAAAUGAAAAAUAAUUAGAAGGUGACAAAGUUUCAUAACCGUGAUGCCUGUUUAAAGUUUCAUAAUCGUGAUGCCUGUUU